AUGGAUGCUCAGGUGACUGACCCGUCAGGACUGCAACAAAAGAACUGAAGCUGCAGGAGCGAGCUGGCUGGUGCUGUGCGGAGCUGUGGUGCAGAAGGCCCUCACCAGGGGUGCCCGGAGCCAGGGACUGUGCGCCGCGGACUGGGUCCAGGUCACAGGCGCUGGGUGAACAGAAUGAGAAGACGAAGUGAGGAUGUACUCGUUAGAUGCUCACGAAAGGCCUUCUUCCCCUUGGUUGGGAACGACCCCCCAGAAACUAGCCCCAGACCGCACCUGGAUUCAGCUGCAGGCAACUCAGAGGAGCAUGAGCCCAGGGGCCUCGGGAGGGCUUCGGUGGUUAGGAGGGGGGUGAAGGGAGACUCGGGAGGGCCGCGGGUGGGAGCAGCUCUAAGAGCCCUACAGCUUGCAUGGAAACACAACAGACUUCCCUUUUGCACUGUCUGCGGGGACAACUGUUCCAGCCCUGAGGGGACGAGGGAACGCUGUGCUGUGGGGAAAGCCCGGGGAAAGCCCGGGUGGCAGGAGGUGGCGGGGCUCCUGGAGGAGGUGCUGGGAUGUGCUGCUGUGGCUGCUGAGAAAGGUCCUGAGGACGCAGCCUGCCCCUUCCCCGAGCUUCGAGCUUCGAGGGAGCCCCGCGGGGAAGACCCGCAGGGUCUCCGGGAGGGCGGAACAGGGGAGCCUGGAGUCUCAGGGCUGAGGGGAGCAGAGUCUUUCUGGGAGGUGAGCGUCCCCAGCCUGCCCUCCCUGCUCACUGCAGGUCGCGCACCUGCUCUGCUCUGGGCCUCCCCUCAGCCCUGGCCUCUAGGCAGUUUCCUUUCUGCCAGGUAGAUUCUGUGCAACUUCAUUUAUUCAGAAUCUGGAUCAACAAAUGAACACUCAGGGAGGAAAGGGGUGUUUGGAGGGGUGGAGAGGUUUCCAAGCAGGCGCCCACCUGAGGGCCCCCUGA